AGUGAACGCUGGCGGUAGGCCUAACACAUGCAAGUCGAGCGGCAGCAGAGUAAGAGCUUCUGCUUACAGGUGGCGAGUGGCGGGCGGUGGAUAAAUACAUCCGAAUCUGCGGUUGCGUGGGGGCGGACGCAGGGGAACAUACGCCAAUACCGCAGACGACCUACGGGGGAAAGCUUGGGAUCUUCCGACCUCGGGCGAGUCAAGGAGCCGAUGUCGGAUUAGCUAGUUAGCGGGGUAAAGGCCCACCAAGGCGACGAUCCGUAGCUGGUCUGAGAGGAUGAUCAGCCACACUGGAACUGAGACACGGUCCAGACUCCUACGGGAGGCAGCAGUGGGGAAUAUUGGACAAUGGGCGAAAGCCUGAUCCAGCCAUGCCGCGUGUGUGAAGAAGGCCUUCGGGUUGUAAAGCCCUUUUGUUGGGGAGGAAGAGCAGCAGGUUAAUACCCCGCUGUUCUGACGGUACCAAAAGAAUAAGCACCGGCUAACUUCGUG
rnacentral:rRNA from 1 species